rnacentral:lncRNA from 1 species
GACCUGCUUUUGUUUUCUUUCCAUGCAAUUUACACCAAAUCAACUUCAAGGUAACUUUUUACAACUAUCUUUUCUAUACUGUCUUCGAACUGCUCGAACUGUAAGUCCAAGUCUAAAAUAGCAUCAUUUCAUGUUGGUUUGUGACAUUUUGCUGAGAAAAAAUGUCAGCUAUGACAUUCAGCUAUGUUUGGGGCCCUGCCACCAUUAAUAACAUUUGAUCUCCAACCUACUAAACCAAUUAAGGGAGGGGAGGGAAAUACCUUUUUACCACCUUAGUGAGCUGAAGUGACUUGUUUUGUCAGGCAGGUACUGAAGCCCCCACAUCAACAGCACAGAAGAGCGUGCAGUCUGAAGGAGGAUGGAAUGACUCCAUUUCAGCAGGAGGGAGUUGGUGCAUCAACCUAGCUUCUCGUCUUACCAUAACCUAUCUUUGGAGUGGCAUCUGUAUCUUCAUCAGAAGAUGUCCCUCUACCAUCUGCAGCUCACAGCAAAGAUUCUAGGAAGUAAAAGCAAAUAUACCUGGGAGUCCAAAGAUGUGUUGAGCAGUGAACUACAAUUGCCUAUGUUGAGAAGCUGACUUCAGCACUAAUACAGCUGUCACCACGGGAGUGCUGUUACCCAAGCAAUCACUUCGAAGUUGUUCGAGGAUAUAUUAAUGAUUUUCUCAUUUCUGGAAGUUGGAAUUUUAUUGAUCUCUUUUACUGGACUAUCAUUUACUACUGAGAUUUUGCUACAACAAAGGAAAUAUUCUGGGACAAGCUCAGAAUUAGGAGGAAAGGGACUGAGAUCUUUCGUGUGCCUCAGAUGGAAAAACAAGACAGAAAGACAGAGUAACUUAAAAUAUUCCCCAAUGGACAAGGAAAUCUCUGAGCAGUGGAUUCAUCCCUGUUGUAGAAAUAACCUUUUCUUGAGAAACCACGAGACCGUCUGGACUUUUUCAGUGUUGUAUUAAAACAAUACAGUAAUU